UACAGAGGGGGCAAGCGUUGUUCGGAAUUACUGGGCGUAAAGCGCGCGCAGGCGGUUCUCCAAGUCAGUGGUGAAAGCCCGGAGCUCAACUCCGGAACUGCCAUUGAAACUGUUGAACUUGAGGACGAGAGAGGUGAGUGGAAUUCCCAGUGUAGAGGUGAAAUUCGUAGAUAUUGGGAAGAACACCGGUGGCGAAGGCGGCUCACUGGCUCGUAUCUGACGCUCAGGCGCGAUAGCGUGGGGAUCAAACAGG
rnacentral:rRNA from 1 species